AGCGCGGGAAAUCUUAGCUCCGCAGACACGUUCAGUUCAGAGCUAUUGCACUAUGUUGCAUAAUGCGUAAAUGUUAUAAGCAUAACCAAUUAUUAUUGUGUAAGUAUCGAGUCCGACACAGAGGCUUCGAUCUUAUCAAUUCUACCUCAUGUAUGCAGGAUAUGAUUCUUUAUUGUGUAUAGACCUUCGAUGCUCAUAUGUUUGUUAUGAUUCUAUUAUAUACGCUUAUUGUAUUUUGUAUAUUCAACUACCCGCCUUCUUCAAUGUAGUUUAAGCCAAUAAACACCAGCAACAAGACAUUGCUUUAUUAUCGCCCUUCAUCCCGGAACCUCGGCGACGAGAAAUGGAAUAUUACCUCCAAUACUAAAACACCAUCUUUCCCUCUACCUACAGAAAGCUAUCUCUGCUCCCAUUGGCUGCCUGGAAUUUACUCCCCACAAGGAUUGGGCAUUGCUUACCGGGAGAAGUCUUAACAGCAGGGACCCAGCAGUUCAUCCUCAGAAGCACCACAGAGCUCAGAGCACUCAGAACCUCCUCAGACAUUGCCCUGCAGACACCACUUCACCCUUCCUGCUCCCCCUGCCUUCUCUGGGGAAGUCCCAAGUAUUUUUAUACUUCCAUAGUGCACAAAAAUAUCAGCAGAUAAGAAGACUACCAAGCCCAGGAUUUCCAGACAAACACCAUACCUGAUUGUGGGAGAACUUGGGAACCCUUUGGAGUAAGCCUUACACUUUCAAUAACCCGUUUGCGCAAAAUUCUGUACGCCGUGUCUGGUUGCCCCCAGCCACGUGUUAAGUUGCUGUAUCAAUGUAUCCUCCCCUUCAAACCAAGACUUGAGAAGUUGGGAAUAUAAAAGAAGCCAAUUACUGUAAAAGGACUGUUGAAGACAGAGGAAGAGAUAAGAAUAUAAGGAACUCAAAGAUGCUAGAUUGCAGAAACAAAAACAUUUGAUAAGUGCCAUCCUUCUCCCCAUUCCUCCAUAUGACGAUAUCCCUAAAAGGUGCCGAUCUCGACACGCUUACAUCAAAUAAACUUCGACAGCAGUUAAAGGAGAAACAAAAUAGGUGUUGAAUUUUCAAGUAAGAAGAAGGAUAUCAAAACCUUAAUACGGACUGGUUGAUAAUGAGCAAGCUGAUUUCCAAUCUGAAGAGGUCUCAUAGAACAUUAUUAGGGGAACUUUAGUAUCUGGAGUUCAUUUGAUAGUAUUAAGACAGAAUUAUAUUAUGGUUCUUUAAUUACUUUAACAUUAUUCUGAUGGUUAGGGAGGAAAAAGUGGUUAUGAAUUAGGUUUGAAUUCUUUAGGGGGUCGUGGUAGGCAGCGACGUCAGGGGGCCGAGCAGGCCCACGUGUGCGGCGCGACGAGUCGGGUGGGUAAAGCAGGUCCCUCGGUGUAGCAACGGCGUCGGCAGGCAGGGGAGGCCCACAGGCAGCGACGUCGGGUGGGUAAAGCACGUCCCUGGCUUAUAGCAGCAGUGUCGGCAGGCAGGGGAGGCCCACAGGCAGCGACGUCGGGUGGGUAAAGCACGUCCCUGGCUUAUAGCAGCAGUGUCGGCAGGCAGGGGAAGCCCACAGGCAGCGACGUCGGGUGGGUAAAGCACGUCCCUGGCUUAUAGCAGCAGUGUCGGCAGGCAGGGGAAGCCCACAGGCAGCGACGUCGGGUGGGUAAAGCACGUCCCUGGCUUAUAGCAGCGGCGCCGGCAGGCAGGGGCUUUCAUCUGGGGACUCGCAGGUGCGGCAAUGGCGCCGGGGGAAAAACCGAGGAGGCCCGCAGUUGCGGCGGGUCGAGAAGAUAUCUGGUGUCCCCCAGGUGAGACAAAGGAGGCCGCGAGGUCGGAUGGAUGUUUCUGGACCGCCGCCUGACUUUUGUGUUGGGUGACCAGCACCCAACUACCCGUCCUCGAAAUAAACGCCAAAACACGCUGGGAAGCAGUGCCGUGAUUAGUCCGUUAAUGGCGUUGGUCGUCCUCGCAGUGGAGUUUUCAGAGACCUAAACUGUGGCGCCGUAUUGAGUCCGUUAAAGGUUCUCUGAAGGUGAGCGGCCGUAUUUAGUCCGUUAAAGGCUGGGCCUAAACCGCUUGUGUCGCCAACUCCGGGAGGUCACCAGUUGUGAGGACCAGAGAUUAAGACAGGUAGCUGGGUACUGAUAAUUUAUUUACAGACAAUCUGGGUUGACAUAGACAGGUGCGGACGGAUAUGUAGUGCAGUCUCGCACCGCAAACAGAAAUGACUCCGAGACGGUAAAUUUGUGUUUUCUUACAGACAUUCAUUUAGAUAUAAUAAAGCAUACAUAUAAUGGAAUUGCAAGUGUUAUACAUCAGCGAAAAGGCCGCGGAACGCUCUAUCGGAUGGAAGUAAGGACAAAGCGACUUGAUGAUUGGUUACGAUAAAAAUAGGGAAAAAGUGUUGUCCUUACAGUAGUAUUAAGUUAGGCCAAUUUGGGUAUAAGAGGAUAUGUUUUGAAGAAUUAUAGAGAUAAAAAAUGAAGUUUCCUUUCUGUAGUAUUAAGGAAAUAAAUUAGGUUGAGGAUCAUCAGAGUCAUUUUAUAACCUCCAAAUCUUUUCCCAUCCAGAACUAAACAUAUAUUAAGAGAAUCGAACAUCACAGAAAAUUGAAGAUUUCAUCUAUCCUCGAAAAUGAAACAGAACAUGAUGCUACGAGAACUUUAAGAUUGAAAAACUAAUAAUUUCAUAAUAUUUUUUCCAACAUUAAGAGAUGCAACACAGUGAGUUUUCUGUCCUGUC